GCCCAAGAGACUGGGAUAACACCUGGAAACAGAUGCUAAUACCGGAUAACAACACUAGACGCAUGUCUAGAGUUUAAAAGAUGGUUCUGCUAUCACUCUUGGAUGGACCUGCGGUGCAUUAGCUAGUUGGUAAGAUAACGGCUUACCAAGGCAAUGAUGCAUAGCCGAGUUGAGAGACUGAUCGGCCACAUUGGGACUGAGACACGGCCCAAACUCCUACGGAAGGCAGCAG
rnacentral:rRNA from 1 species